rnacentral:rRNA from 1 species
CCCAGACAGCCAGGAUGUUGGCUUAGAAGCAGCCAUCAUUUAAAGAAAGCGUAAUAGCUCACUGGUCGAGUCGGCCUGCGCGGAAGAUGUAACGGGGCUAAACCAUGCACCGAAGCUGCGGCAGCGACACUGUGUGUUGUUGGGUAGGGGAGCGUUCUGUAAGCCUGCGAAGGUGGCCUGUGAGGGUUGCUGGAGGUAUCAGAAGUGCGAAUGCUGACAUAAGUAACGAUAAAGCGGGUGAAAAGCCCGCUCGCCGGAAGACCAAGGGUUCCUGUCCAACGUUAAUCGGGGCAGGGUGAGUCGACCCCUAAGGCGAGGCCGAAAGGCGUAGUCGAUGGGAAACGGGUUAAUAUUCCCGUACUUGGUGUUACUGCGAAGGGGGGACGGAGAAGGCUAUGUUGGCCGGGCGACGGUUGUCCCGGUUUAAGCGUGUAGGUGUGUGUUCCAGGUAAAUCCGGUUCACUUUAACACUGAGGCGUGAUGACGAGGCACUACGGUGCUGAAGCAACAAAUGCCCUGCUUCCAGGAAAAGCCUCUAAGCAUCAGGUAACAUCAAAUCGUACCCCAAACCGACACAGGUGGUCAGGUAGAGAAUAC